rnacentral:misc_RNA from 1 species
AACAAGGCGUACCUGCGGACCUGCGGAAGGAUCAUUACGAGAGUGUCACCACUCCCAACCCAUUGUUUACCUACCCGUCCACCGUGCUUCGGCAGGCAGCCCUGUGGGACAGAGCCUCGCCCCCUUUCGCGGGGGGUGCCUGCCGCUUGCCAACCAAAACUCUAGCUGUUUUAGUACCAUCUGAGUCUUCCACAAAUGAACAAAACUUUUAACAACGGAUCUCAGAUCGGAAGAGCACAC